rnacentral:rRNA from 1 species
GCGAAAGCCUGAUCCAGCAAUACCGCGUGUGUGAAGAAGGCCUUAGGGUUGUAAAGCACUUUCAAUUGGGAGGAAAACCUGCCGGUCAAUACCCGGUAGCUUGACAUUACCUUUAGAAGAAGCACCGGCUAACUCCGUGCCAGCAGCCGCGGUAAUACGGAGGGUGCGAGCGUUAAUCGGAAUUACUGGGCGUAAAGCGUGCGUAGGUGGUUCGUUAAGUCAGAUGUGAAAGCCCUGGGCUCAACCUGGGAACUGCAUUUGAAACUGGCGGACUAGAGUUUAGUAGAGGGGAGUGGAAUUUCAGGUGUAGCGGUGAAAUGCGUAGAUAUCUGAAGGAACACCAGUGGCGAAGGCGACUCCCUGGACUAAAACUGACGCUGAGGUAC